rnacentral:rRNA from 1 species
AUUGAACGCUGGCGGCAGGCCUAACACAUGCAAGUCGAGCGGAUGAAGGGAGCUUGCUCCUGGAUUCAGCGGCGGACGGGUGAGUAAUGCCUAGGAAUCAGCCUGGUAGUGGGGGAUAACGUCCGGAAACGGGCGCUAAUACCGCAUACGUCCUGAGGGAGAAAGUGGGGGAUCUUCGGACCUCACGCUAUCAGAUGAGCCUAGGUCGGAUUAGCUAGUUGGUGGGGUAAAGGCCUACCAAGGCGACGAUCCGUAACUGGUCUGAGUGGAUGAUCAGUCACACUGGAAGUGGACCACGGUCCAGACUCCUACGGGAGGCAGCAGUGGGGAAUAUUGGACAAUGGGCGAAAGCCUGAUCCAGCCAUCCCGCGUGUGUGAAGAAGGUCUUCGGAUUGUAAAGCCCUUUAAGUUGGGAGGAAGGGCAGUAAGUUAAUACCUUGCUGUUGUGACGUUACCAACAGAAUAAGCACCGGCUAACUUCGUG